UCAAUGUAUCUUGAAAAUUAAGUCUUGUUAAUAUAUGUUAUUAUUGUUGAUAAUCCUAAAAGUAAUAAAAAUAUUUUUGAAUAUUAUUGUUUUAGUAGAAUGAAUCGAAAAAAAUCAAAAAGAGCUAUAGAAUAAAGUACUGUAAAGGAAAGAUGAAAUAAGUUGAAAAUUUAAUUGGUGUAAAGUAAAGUUAAAUGCUUGUACCUUGUGUAUUAGGGAGAGUCAAAAUAACCUUGCUAUGGUAAGUAGUCCCGAAAGAAAAAGAGUUAAUAUAAAUAUAUAGUUUUCGUGUUAAUGAGAUUAUAAAAUUUAUGUUAGUAGUGAAAUGCUAGUCGAUUUUUCAUAUCUGGUUGGUGGAGAAUUAAAUUGAAUUUAGUUAUUUUGAGGUUAAAAGCUUUGAAAUAGUAAAGAGUAGGAGGGAAAAGCUUCUUAUUCUAAUAAUAGGUGUAUUAUAAUAAAAAUAAUUUAGAUAUUAUUGAAUUAGG
rnacentral:rRNA from 1 species